AUGAUCGAAGAAAAAGAACUUCCCUUUCUCCCGGAGUAAGGUUGCUUCCUUCCGAAUUCUCAUCCACCAUUCCCCGCCGUUCGAAGCGUUUGACGGAAUUCUGGAUCAAAUCAGUCAUUCGAGAUCGCGCGCAGAACCUAGCCCGAUGACUUUGACAGAUUCCCCUAAUUACCCGUCCGCAUAUCCGAGUGAAAGCAGAGCGGAUAAUCGCGCACGGAAUCGUCGUAAAUAAUUUCUCUCCAGGCUCGACACGAUGUUUAAUAAUAAUAUUGUUUAAUACGGCUCUUUGAGGGGCAGCUUAUUGACGAAAGGUGGUGCACGCCGUCGCUGGCACGAAUUCACCGCGGGGAAUGGCGUCAUUAUUCCACGACGCGUCGAAGCGGCCGUUUUUAAUGAGAUCCUACAAUAUUUAAGGCGACUCUCGAGAGAUUUUACGCCAUCGCGUUGUCACCGUGAAACACGUUGAACGUGUCACAACCGUGUCCGCUGACGAUCGAUGCGAGAGAUAUUUUCCCUCCGACGCUGCAGCGUCCCAAAUACCGACGCCUUCGUCCGCGACGGCAUUCGAAAUCGUUUCGUCGAAACGACCGUCCGCUCGCAAAUAACCGAACAACCGCGCUAUCGGACCAGUUUACUCCGAAUUCGCACGCAGUGCAAUAGUUAAAUCCCAUUUUAAAUACUGAGAUGAUCCUCCUUCACCUGUGUCUAUCAGGAAAUUCUGAACUCCAAACGGAAGCAAGCCGACUACGGAAUUACUUUUUUUGGAAUUGCAAGAGUAAUUUGUCUUUUAUACACCAGGAAGUUUUAAGAGCAACGGAGCUGACCAACCAGAGUCCCGUAUUCGAAAGCUACAGAUGGGCAGGCACGUCUGUCAAGGUCGGAGUUCCAAGCACUCGGCAACGAAUCGAUUAAUAAUGCCUCGUCGGCUGUGCCGGUCUUAACGCGUACACUAUUCCUUCCCUCUCUAUAUAUAGAGCUAGAAACCGAUGAGGAUCACGGAUGAACAAGGCUGCCGCUGCGAGACGGUGCUUGCUUUGAUUUCGCCGCCGGAAGACCUACACCUUCGAUCGCGUGCAGGUGUCUGAUGGACCUAUGGUUCAUUUGCCAUGGAUAUGACGAGACGUUGGUGACGACACUUUCGGUGGAAUUAACAUGUGACUUCCACGCAGGUUUUCCAUGGCCUCGACGCUUGCUUAACCUCGUGGACUGCACGUGCUACGCAAGUCGAAAGCUUUUUUGUUCCAGAAUUGAAAAUGUACGCGUUGACACUCGAGACUCUUCGCAAGAUGUGACAGAACAAAUUUUACAAGCUUUUUGUAUUCUCUAUCAAACGUGUAAAGAAAUGUCUGUUGACAUAUUUUCUAAGGAAUAUUCCACUCACGAAAACUAAAUAAAAAAUACCGAAAGAAUUGAGUAUAUACUAAAUAAAAGCAAAGCAAACUGUCUGAGAAUCUAAGCAAUAUUUUGUUGCAUUUCACAACUCAUAAUGUUUAAAGUUCCUGUAUAUGUAUAUAAUUUUACAAAAAUGAUUAACCUCAUAUGUGGUUAGGUCAUAAAGUUCUUUGCGCAUUUCCGUGCGAUACCUCUGACUCGUGCUUUUCAUAUUCACACGUUAUCGUAGACUAAUAUGUUAAUAAACAAUAUAAUUGUCUAGGAUGUUUCUAGAGUCUGGACACAGGAAAUAUUAUAUCAGCUAAUAAAUGUCACACUUGGAAAAUUUUCCUUAUUCCCUGUGUCCAAACUUUAGGGACAUCCUGUGUAUGUACAUCUGUAUAUCAUCUGUUAAUAAGCAGAAUUAUUGUUCCCUGAAAAUAUCUACAAAAAGAAUUCUUGGUUCGCUGGUCACGCGUAUAUCGAAACAUUUGUCAGCGCAGGAGAUUAACCCAUUCACGGCCAGACAAAUUUAAAUCGUUUU